rnacentral:rRNA from 1 species
GACGAACGCUGGCGGCGUGCUUAACACAUGCAAGUCGAACGGAAAGGCCCCUUUGGGGGUCCUCGAGUGGCGCACGGGUGAGUAACACGUGAGUAACCUGCCCUUGACUUCGGGAUAACUUCAGGAAACUGGGGCUAAUACCGGCUAGGAAUCCUUGCUGCAUGGUGGGGGUUGGAAAGCUUCGGCGGUUUUGGAUGGACUCGCGGCUUAUCAGCUUGUUGGUGGGGUAGUGGCUUACCAAGGCUUUGACGGGUAGCCGGCCUGAGAGGGCGACCGGCCACAUUGGGACUGAGAUACGGCCCAGACUCCUACGGGAGGCAGCAGUGGGGAAUAUUGCACAAUGGGCGGAAGCCUGAUGCAGCAACGCCGCGUGCGGGAUGACGGCCUUCGGGUUGUAAACCGCUUUCAGCAGGGGCGAAGCUUGUGGUGACGGUACCUGCAGAAGAAGCACCGGCUAACUACGU